GGAUAACUCCGGGAAACCGGGGCUAAUACCGAAUAAUUAGUUCCUUCGCAUGAAGGAACUCUGAAAGACGGCUAUGCUGUCACUACRGGAUGGGCCCGCGGCGCAUUAGCUAGUUGGUGAGGUAACGGCUUACCAAGGCGACGAUGCGUAGCCGACCUGAGAGGGUGAUCGGCCACACUGGGACUGAGACACGGCCCAGACUCCUACGGGAGGCAGCAGUAGGGAAUCUUCCACAAUGGACGAAAGUCUGAUGGAGCAACGCCGCGUGAGCGAAGAAGGUUUUCGGAUCGUAAAGCUCUGUUGUGAGGGAAGAACAAGUAYAGGAGUAACUGCCUGUACCUUGACGGUACCUCAUUAKAAAGCCACGGCUAACUACGUGCCAGCAGCCGCGGUAAUA
rnacentral:rRNA from 1 species